UGACAUCCCGGGAAUCCCGUUGGAACAAGGGAGUGCCUUCGGGACAGAGGACAGGUGGUGCAUGGUUGUCGUCAGCUCGUGUCGUGAGAUGUUGGGUUAAGUCCCGCAACGAGCGCAACCCCUGUGGUUAGUUGCCAGCAAGUAGCGUUGGGCACUCUAGCCAGACUGCCGGUGAUAAAUCGGAGGAAGGUGGGGACGACGUCAAAUCAUCAUGCCCUUUAUGUCCUGGGCUACACACGUACUACAAUGGUACAUACAGAGGGCUGCCAACCCGCGAGGGGGAGCUAAUCCCAGAAAGUGUAUCGUAGUCCGGAUUGAAGUCUGCAACUCGACUUCAUGAAGUUGGAAUCGCUAGUAAUCGCGGAUCAGCAUGUCGCGGUGAAUACGUUCCCGGGUCUU
rnacentral:rRNA from 1 species